CCUACAUACCUGUGCAACAUGGCAUGCUUCCCUAUGUAUCUGGGUUAUUCCCAUUACUAGUGAAAUUUUAUGAACUAUCAUAAAAUACACAAGAUAUGCACACCUUAUCAACUACCUUAUGUAGGAAUGAUCUGAAGUGCCAUCUGCAUUCACAAAAUUCAAGGCAUUCUGAAAAUCAUUUUCAUCAGGUGGAAGAAGGAAGUACUUCAACAGUUACUCUUGAAUGUCACUAAAAUGUCUUUAAAGUUUAUUUCAACACUCCUCAGCCUCAAAAAAAAAAGACUUUUAAAACAGCUUGGAAAAAAUAUAUAGUUUGGAAAAAGCUGUAUGAUACUGAAAUGAAGAACAGUAGCUAUGAAAUAUUUACAAACUUGACGCAUGCUUUUUUUCAAAUCGCCUCAAGGCAGACGUGGUGCUUCAAACAAAUAGAGUCUGGAGGUAA